GUCAAAAUGAAGAUCGUGGACCGUUUUCUUUUGCGGUGUUUCGCCGUAUGAAAGCCGUUUAAUGGCUAUAAUACAUCCCAUCGGGAGACAUCUCCUUUUUAAUCCCGGAUUUUUAUCCUAUAUGGAAGUCCUGUGAGACGAUGGUGUGUUGGUGGAGGCCUCAUCGAGUCGACAUGCUGGUCAAUCCCGGCCACGUAUGCCGCUUCUCCUCGAUGGGGCCUACCACUUAGUCUACAGUUUGGCUGUAAGGCAGCCCCCAGCCAGCUUGGUGUACCGGCGGUCGGGGCCUGUUCGCUAUUACUACAACUACCAUGGAUGCAGAGGCACUGCGACAUGAGUCUCCAUUAGUGUGUCGGCAGUGGUACCUUCCUUCUAAUGUCACUACUUAAAAGGUCAGAGACAACCAAUUUAUUAUAUUCUCCAAGGCGCCCAACUUACUUUAAAUAAUUUUCCUUAUUUUUUAUACCACGUACCCAGAGUGCCCAACCAUAAGAAAUGUAGCCGCCAAACCCACAUUUGCUCUCAUAUUUUUUAGUUAAGUCUGUAGUAAGCUAGCCGAGGCUAUUUAAUAUAUUAUAAUGUCAUAAGUUAACAUUUGACACUUCUAAACUUAGAUAUUUGUCGUUUAGUCAAAUAAAUGUAUUAUAAGUAA